rnacentral:rRNA from 1 species
AGAGUUUGAUCAUGGCUCAGAGCGAACGCUGGCGGCGUGCUUAACACAUGCAAGUCGAACGCGCAGCAUUCUGUAGCAAUACAGGGUGUGGGCGCGUGGCGAACGGGUGCGUAACACGUGGAUACCUUCCUUGAGGUGGGGAAUAACCCAGUGAAAAUUGGGCUAAUACCGCAUAACAUCGCGAUGGCACAUGCUGAUGCGAUCAAAGGCGCAAGUCGCCACAAGAGGGAUCCGCGGCCGAUUAGCUUGUUGGCGAGGUAAUGGCUCACCAAGGCAAUGAUCGGUAGCCGGACUGAGAGGUUGGCCGGCCACACUGGAACUGAGACACGGUCCAGACUCCUACGGGAGGCAGCAGUGGGGAAUCUUGCACAAUGGACGAAAGUCUGAUGCAGCAACGCCGCGUGGGGGAUGAAGCUUCUCGGAGUGUAAACCCCUUUCGACCCGGAAGAAUGCCCGCAAGGGUAUGACGGUACGGGUAUAAGAAGCCCCGGCUAACUACGUGCCAGCAGCCGCGGUAAUACGUAGGGGGCCAGCGUUGCUCGGAAUUACUGGGCGUAAAGGGUCCGUAGGCGGUGUAGCAAGUCGAUAGUGAAAUCUCUGGGCUUAACCCAGAGGCUGCUAACGAAACUGCUGUGCUAGAGUGUGAGAGAGGCGAGUGGAAUUACGGGUGUAGCGGUGAAAUGCGUAGAUAUCCGUAGGAACAUCCGAGGCGAAGGCGGCUCGCUGGAUCACAACUGACGCUGAGGGACGAAAGCUAGGGGAGCAAACAGGAUUAGAUACCCUAGUAGUCC